CCGAUUUCUGUUCUUAUCCUGAAGCAAAGUUCUUAACCUGAAGCACUAUUUCUGGGUUAGUGGAGUCUGUAACCUGAAGCGUAUGUAACCUGAAGCGCAUGUAACCUGAGGUACCACGGUAUUGGCAUUUCAUUUUAAGAUGCAAGAGCUACGUCUUUGUUCGAAUCGGAGCAUUAGCAAAAGCUGUGUGGAGCAUAGAAGCACACAGCGUUCUCUUGGGAGGCUCUUAUAAAACACAACUUCAAUUGUGGCGUACUUCCAUGGAGAUUUGACGUUCAGCAAUCGGCAGGUAGACCUAGCCAGGUCCCCAAAAUUUCUAAUUAGUGAAACUAGAAGAUACUUGACUUCCCAAAUGCCAUACAUAGCUAACCUUGAAAUACCAAAACAGCGAAGGGCUUUCACCUUGGCCCGUUGUCAGGCUCUCCCUUCAGCAGUCCAGGAAGGCCGUUAUAGGAAGAUACCUUAGGAGGAAAUGCCCAUGGGCUCUGAGCAGCAGGAAACAAUGGAGCAUGCCCUUUUUAUUGCCAGUAUUAUAUAGACAUUUGAGCCAGGUUUAUCCAGCCCAUCCUAUAAAAAUUCCCAGGGCAUUCAGAACAACACAAAUUUUCCCUAUUACUACAGGACGAAAGGCCAGAAGUCAUAUUCAGGCGCCAGAUUCUGUGCUGUCAUGAUAGAUACUCGUCGAAGGAUGGUCUAUGCUACAAAUCAGUCCUAAAAUGAAGGCCCAUAUUGUUAGAUCUGUAUCACUGAAGCACCACCACAUAUAGCUGUUUUAACUGGUCUUUUUAAUUCUUAAUAGUUUUGGGGGCCUGCACUCACCGCCACAGCUUGAGGGCCUCCAUCAAGGCCUCCGGGAGUAGUUUAAUUUGAGCACUAUUGUUUCUUGCUUUGUUUUUAAUUUUAUUAUUCUGUUAAGUUAUUAUAUAGUUUGUAUUUUGCUUUUUAAGGGGAAGGGUCAGGGCUGCCGGGAAUGGGCCUCAGCCAAUAGAAUGGCUGGGGCAGGUUCCACAGGGGGGGAUGUAUUGGGACAUCCGAUCUCGGUGAUCAUGGGCAGGAGGCGGAGUUACACUAAGACCAGACCAUGUCAUUACUGAGGAGGCAGGCUUAGUCGUUGUUUGAGGACUAUCCCUGCCUCCAGAUCUGGUCCUGACCGGAAGGAUACAGGAAUCAGCAGGGGAAACCCACAUCAUCUGAAAGUGUUGCUGUGCAAUGCCAGGUCAAUGAUGAAUAAAACCACUGCCAUCCACGACCUGAUUGUGGGUGGAGGAUUUGACCUGGCAUGUGUGACAGAGACCUGGUUGGAGGAAGCAGAUGGGCCUGUCCUUGCCACUGCUUGCCCACCAGGUUUCUCUUACGCACAGCAACCCAGGUCAUGUGGGCGGGGAGGGGGGGUUGCAGUGAUUUUUAGGAAGUCAUUAGUCUGCACCAGGCAUUCUAUUGGGAAGACCCAGUUUUCUGAGUGCAUGUUCUGGAAGUUGGGCAAUAGGGGCAGUACAGGAUUCCUAUUGGUGUACCGACCUCCCCGCUGCACCAAGGAUUCCCUGCCCGAGCUGCUUCAGGUCGUGGCAGAUAUGCUCCUGGAGACACUUAGCUUGGUUGUCCUGGGGGAUUUUAACAUCCAUGCCGACACGACCUUACAAGGGGCUGCUCGGGACUUCGUGGAAAGCAUGGCCUCCAUGGGGCUGUCCCUGAAUAUGUUUGGCCCAACUCAUAGUCAUGGACAUGCCUUAGACUUGGUGUUUACCUCUAUGGAUGGUGGUGAUCUGACACUAACUAAAAGCGAAACAAAAGAAAUGCCAUAGUCAGAUCACUUCCUGGUGCAACUGGACUUCUCCGUGACCCUUCCCCUCUGCAGGGAGGUGGGACCGAUUCGGAUGGUCCGCCCCCGCCACUUAAUGGAUCCAAUUGGCUUCCAGAGAGUGGUAGGGGAUGUUUUAUCCCAAGUUGAUGGCCUUUCAGCUGAUUCCCUGGUGGCACGCUGGAAUGCAGAGUUAACCGGGGCUAUUGACUGUCUGGCUCCGAAGCGCCCUCUCCGAUUGCAUGGAGCCCGGACAGCCCCGUGGUUUUCCCCGGAGCUGAGGGUGAUGAAACAAUCGUUGAGAUGGCUAGAGCGCCGGUGGCAGAAAACUCAUUCUGAAUCAGACCAGACACGGGCUAGAGCUCAACGUCGAGCCUACCAAGUGGCAAUGGCGACAGCAAAGAGGGCCUUCUUCGCCGCCUCCAUUGCAUCUGCAGAAAACAGCAGCAGGAGACUUUUCCAGGUGGUUCGCAAUCUAUUGGAACCACCUGUACCACCGGGGCCUGGUAGGGACCCCAAGAUCUCCUGCAAUGCUUUUGCAGUUUUUUGAAGAUAAAGUCGCUCAGAUUCAGAAGGAGGUAGGCUCCACCGUGGGAGGGCCAGGGCGGGAGAGUGCUAGAGUUCUGUCUGGUCCUGUUACAUGGGAUCAAUUCCAAUCUGUUACCUCCGAGGAUGUGGACAGGCUGCUUGGACAAGUGAAACCGACCACCUGUCUCCUUGAUCCUUGCCCAUCCUGGCUGAUAAAAGUGAGCCAGGAAGGGCUGGGUGAUGGGCUCUGCGGGGUGGUGAAUGCUUCCCUCUGUGAGGGAGCCUUCCCAGACCCGCUGAAAGAGGCGGUCAUUAAACUGCUUCUUAAAAAAACAUCUUUCGACCCGGCCAAUUUGGCCAAUUAUCGCCCAGUCUCAAAUCUAUCAUUCUUGGGCAAGGUGAUUGAGCGGGUGGUUGCCGAACAACUCCAAGCACGCCUGGAGGAUGCAGACCAUUUGGAUCCCUUCCAAUCGGGAUUCAGGCCUCACCAUGGGACUGAAACUGCCUUGGUCGCGUUGGUUGAUGAUCUCCGGCAGGCUAGGGACAAAGGUGAGAGCUGUUUCCUAGUUCCUUUCUCCUGGGCCGUGUCCAGAAUGGGGAUGAGUGUUCAGACCCCUGGGCUCUCAUUUGUGGGGUGCCUCAGGGUUCUGUCCUCUCCCCCAUGCUUUUUAAUAUCUAUAUGAAGCCGCUGGGAGAGAUCAUCAGAGGGUUUGGACUGGGUGUUCAUCAGUAUGCAGAUGACACCCAGCUCUACCUCUCCUUUAAAUCAGAACCAGUGAAGGUAGUGAAGGUCCUGUGUGAGUGCCUAGAGGCGGUUGGAGGAUGGAUGGCGUUUAACAGAUUGAGGUUGAAUCCUGACAAGACAGAACUACUGUUUUUGGGGGACAGGAAGCUGGCGGGUGUGGGGGAUUCCCUGGUCCUGAAUGGGGUAACUGUGCCCCUGAAGGACAGGUGUGCAGCCUGGGAGUCAUUUUGAACUCAUAGCUGUCCAUGGAGGCGCAGGUUAACUCUGUGUCCAGGGCAGCUGUUUACCAGCUCCAUCUGGUACGCAGGCUAAGACCCUACCUGCCCACGGACUGUCUCGCCAGAGUGGUGCAUGCUCUAGUUAUCUCCUGCUUGGACUACUGCAACACGCUCUACGUGGGGCUACCUUUGAAGGUGACCCGGAAACUGCAAUUAAUCCAGAAUGCGGCAGCUAGACUGGUGACUGGGAGUGGCCGCUGGGACCACAUAACACCGGUUCUGAGAGAUCUGCAUUGGCUCCCAGUACGUUUCCGAGCACAAUUCAAAGUGUUGGUGCUGACCUUUAAAGCCCUAAACGGCCUCGGUCCUGUAUACCUGAAGGAGCGUCUCCACCCCCAUCGUUCAGCCUGGACACUGAGAUCCAGCGCCGAGGGCCUUCUGGCGGUUCCCUCAUUGCGAGAAGUGAGGCUACAGGGAGCCAGACAGAGGGCCUUCUCGUAGUGGCGCCCGCCCUGUGGAACGCCCUCCCAUCAGAUGUCAAAGAGAUAAACAACUACCUGAUAUUCAGAAGACAUCUUAAGGCAGCCCUGUUCAGGGAAGUUUUUAAUAUGUAAUGCUGUACUGUUUUUAACACUUGAUUGGGAGCUGCCCAGAGUGGCUGGGGAAACUCAGCCAGAUGGGCGGGGUAUAAAUAAUAAAUUAUUAUUAUCAUUCACCCGUUAUUUAUGCUUAAUCAAAUAUUCUAUGUAUGUUUUAAUCUACAGUUGGUUCUUGCUCCCAUUUAUUCAAUAAUUGUUCGCUUAGAUUCAUACUGUUAUGCUAUUUAUUUAGGUUAUGCUGGUUUGUGGCAGAAUAAAGUAAAGUAAGACGUUCAGCAAUGCUUCCAAGGGACCUACGCUGAGAGCACUUUGCCACUUUUCGCCCUUUGCAGAGGAUCAGCAACCUCCAACAGAUGAUAUGAGCUGCAGGGUUAUGAUGAUACCACAAGCCCCUCUUGAUUACCAUGCAGGAAGGCCUGUUUUCCCAGCACUGCAUCUCAUGCUUGCUGUCAUGAAAUGAAAUGUGUACAAACCGUGUACUAAAAACAUGCACACACAUGUAAAACGUAUUAUUCACUGCAGGGUGGUGAAGAUCCAGAGGGGGAAAUGGAACCCCUCAGCUGUCCUCUCCCCUUAACUGCCAUUUGGGGGUAGCCAUUCCAUCAGGUUGCCUCAGUGGAAGAGGUAGGAAGCACGGUUCAUUUCAUUGGCUUUGCGGAAGACCCUUUUACUGUGCCAGCUGGUCAUUACAGCACACCUGUUUAGAAAUUGGUGCUUGAGUUUUGGUUUUUUACUUUCCUCUUCCUUCCCUCCCUGUCCCUUUCCCCUUGUGUGUCCUUUCUCCCACCCCCCGGGAUUAUAAGCCUACAGUGGCACUGUGUUAGUUUGAUUGUAUGUGAACCACUCUGG